rnacentral:lncRNA from 1 species
GGCCCGGCUCCUGAGGGCGCCAGCGCGGCCCCGGGGAGCGCGAGGAGCCGGCGAAGCGCGCGGCCUGCCGUUGGCGGCCUGGUCCGCAGCGCCCUGCGCCCACCCGCCCCGGACGUGGGGCCCAAGCCCCCGUGAAGAUGGUGUCCUGGAUGAUCUCCAGAGCCGUGGUCUGGUGUUUGGAAUGCUUUAUCCUGCAUAUUAUUCAUACAAAGCUGUGAAAACAAAAAACGUGAAGGAAUAUUUCGAUGGAUGAUGUACUGGAUUGUUUUUGCUCUCUAUACUGUGAUUGAAACAGUAGCCGAUCAAACAGUUGCUUGUUUCCCCUGUACUAUGAGCUGAAGAUUGCUUUUGUCAUAUGGCUGCUUUCUCCCUAUACCAAAGGAGCAAGUUUAAUAUAUAGAAAAUUCCUUCAUCCACUUCUUUCUUCAAAGGAAAGGAGAUUGAUGAUUAUAUUGUACAAGCAAAGGAACGAGGCUAUGAAACCAUGGUAAACUUUGGACGGCAAGGUUUAAACCUUGCAGCUACUGCUGCUGUUACUGCAGCAGUAAAGGCCAAGGAGCAAUAACUGAACGUUUAAGAAGCUUCAGUAUGCAUGAUUUAACAACUAUCCAAGGUGAUGAGCCUGUGGGACAAAGACCAUACCAACCUCUACCAGAAGCAAAAAAGAAAAGUAAA